GAUGAACGCUGGCGGCGUGCCUAAUACAUGCAAGUCGAGCGAACAGACGAGGAGCUUGCUCCUUCGACGUUAGCGUCGGACGGGUGAGUAACACGUAGGUAACCUACCUAUAAGACUGGGAUAACUUCGGGAAACCGGAGCUAAUACCGGAUAAUAUUUCGAACCGCAUGGUUCGAUAGUGAAAGAUGGCUUUGCUAUCACUUAUAGCUGGACCUGCGCCGUAUUAGCUAGUUGGUAAGGUAACGGCUUACCAAGGCAACGAUACGUAGCCGACCUGAGAGGGUGAUCGGCCACACUGGAACUGAGACACGGUCCAGACUCCUACGGGAGGCAGCAGUAGGGAAUCUUCCGCAAUGGGCGAAAGCCUGACGGAGCAACGCCGCGUGAGUGAUGAAGGUCUUCGGAUCGUAAAACUCUGUUAUUAGGGAAGAACAAACGUGUAAGUAACUGUGCACGUCUUGACGGUACCUAAUCAGAAAGCCACGGCUAACUACGUG
rnacentral:rRNA from 1 species